GUAAUAGUUCAUAGAGCUUGAAC
rnacentral:miRNA from 1 species